rfam:Heterocephalus glaber contig71157, whole genome shotgun sequence.
CUAAAUCCCCAGCCUGGCCUUGAACAAUCUGUUGUUCUUUUUGUUUGCACUAAGAUACUAAAGGAAACAAUCCCUAAGCUUUCUGUCUUUAUGGCAGCCGAGAUUGAUUUGGGCAGUACAUCU